CUGGCAGCCAGAGGCUUGGAUGGAUACACUCUUGGCUGGACAUGACUCCUCAGCCAGCUGACAGUAUUGCCUCAGGAACUGACAGCUCCCACCAGGAGACUGCUGUCAUGGGAAGGCAAGGUGGGAGGAUUCUUUUACUAACGGGAUCUACAGUGAAAGAUUUUGAAAACAGAAACCAAAGUACAAAACAAAAGAGAUCAACCGAUUCCCGGGAGAAGAUAACGAGUGAAAACAUUUCAUCAGAUUAAGAUUUUAGUUAGUGAUUAUAUAUUUUACACAGCCUCUUAAAACCUGUAUGUAUUGAUCGGGGCAAAGCUUUAAUAUUUGUCAAUACUGUCUGAUUUAAUAGCUCACUCAUCUACUUUUUCUUUACUUGCACAGGAGUAUCACUGCCAAAUAUAUUCACUAAGUCCCUGUAAACCUUCUUUCUGUAAACACCUACACUUUAAGUGUGAUGAGAUCUCAAACUAUGUCACCAAAUGUAAGUUAUAAAAUAUAAACCUCAUUCACUUUUUAAUAGCAUAGAGAAAGUUAUAAACAGCAACAACAAAAAUGGACAUUCAGUGUCAUACAUGUCAUUUUUUCUAAACAGCUGAUAUCUGGAGGAGUGGGAAAAUGAAAAUGUGCAUCCAUUUUUUAAUUACAAAAAUAAAGAACAAGUUAACGUCUACUGUCAUUUGUAACCCAGGGAUUCUGUUCAGAAACAGAAAGGGUGUUUCAGAAGCUACUAGAGUUCUCUAAAAAGUUAUUACUAUGGAAGUGCAUCUCUCUUGUGAUACUGUAAGUAAGUGCUAAAUAUGAGAUAAAUUGGGAUGUUAAUGUAACAGUAAUGAAUUUACAAUAAUACAUGCUUGAAUAUACUUAUCAGAAUAGAGAAAUAAUUUAUAAAUACUAGA